GUGUUCUAAAACUUCAUAGGGGUGGUGGGUAUACAACUGUAUACAAUGUAUGCUUAAAAUGUAUUAUACUUUAUUGUGUAUAAAUUAUAGCUCAAUGAAAUAGUUUUUUAAAAACCCUGGGUUGAUUAGAUCUGUAAGUUACUAGCUAUGUGACAUUAACCAGAAUGGUUUUUUUUCCUUCAGAUAUGCCUAUUCUGUUUCAUCAGUUUUCAUUGCUCACAAUCACACAUUUUAUUUUUAAAGUGAACAAUUCUAUAAUGUACUGCAGUUAUUGGGCUUACAGAUAAUUCUUACUUCCACUGGCAGAAAUAUAUACUUAUCUGCACUGCUACUUGCUCUAUCUCGUAAGAUUGUUGUGAAACAUCAAAUAAGAUAACUGAUGAGAAAGUUCUUUGGUAACUGUAAAAUAGUAUUACGCAACUAUAUAGUAGACUUUACAUUUUUGAAAAACAGACGUGAAAAUGUUUUUUCAUAUGAGCGACUUGAGACCCUUGUAAACCUAGGUACCCAAAGUCAAUCUUUGCCCAGAAAUAGAAAGCAGUUGUCUAUUCAAAUGCCACCUUUGAAAUAUCCUAUCGAAACCUGUUUCCUACUGUCGCUUGAGUUAGUAGAUGGCUCAAUGUAGUAUCAUCUAAGCUGCACUUUCAUUUUUCAAAGGAAAAACACUAAAGAAAUGUUUAGAGAGAGACAGAUGAGCAUGACACAUUUAUUUUUCAGGGGAAAAGAGAGAUACGUAGAAAAAUGUCUUCAAUUCCAUAUGCAUUUACUGAAUGUUUCCUGAUGAGAUCUGCAUUAGCAAGAGAGAGUGAAUAAUUUUAAGAAUAGCAAAAUUUCUUAAACCAGUGUGGCACAAUCAUUUCAACUUUGCCUGUUCCAAAAUUUGACAGAUUCUCUCUUUUUUUGUUGUUUCUACUACUGUUGUACAACUGGGCUCUUUGCUAUCCUACCAAGUUUGUGUGGUAUUUGACAUUUAGCCUAGUUAUAUUUGCAAGUUUCCACACUGCAAUAUUUACAAAGGCUGUUUGGACAUAAUCUCCUCAGGUUUAACGACUAAAUUUCACCUUGAAUUCAGGUUUAUAUCAAAUCUUACAAUUCUGAAAAGCUACUCUGCCAGCAACAGGUACUACAACGAAAAAUCAACAAAGCCUGUACCACCACAAAAUGCUCUGCUAACAUUUUCAAUUUUUAAGACUCCUUUUCAGUAACAGUUCUAAAGAGGAAGAAUCUACGGCCAAUUCCAAGGCCAGAUUUCAUUUAAUGUUGUCUUGCUUCAGUAGUAACUCUAAACUCAAGUUUCACAUUUCUCCUUCGAUAACAUUAAGGUCGCUCGGUCCGGUUACCGCACACCUCCAAUUUUAGCGUCCAAGAAACCUGAAAGAACGGCACCUUGCCUACUUGCUCCUCCAGCCUUCUCUCAACUCAGAAGCUUGGCCAAACGUGCCGCUCUCUCCACAACGCCAACGGAGCUGGAACGCAGCGCCCGGAGGACAACUGGUCACGGGGAGGAGGGGAGAACUUCGCCGCCCGGAGUACGGCGGCUGAGGUCCAAUCCAGCCCGCGCCCAACUCUACUCGGUGCCAGGAAGGCGUGUGGACCCGAAGUCUCAGGCCGCGGUGCUAGAUCCGGAGGAGCAGAGUCGCGCGUGGCUGGGGUCAGAAGCACUAUCACAUAAAGACUUCUGAUCCUGAAUCAAACCAUAUGAGAAAAAUUACAAGACAAGAACACAUUUAAAAAUGGAGGUAGAGGAAACAACACUUUUGAGUAAAGUGCAACUGGUGAUUGUGCCAACAUAUGCUAACCCACAGCCCACAACUGAGGCUGAUACUGCCUGGCAGCACUCCAAUUACCACCUCUCAUCAAACAAGUCUUCAGUUGGAAUUAGUUGCUUCACAUGUCUAGUGCCUCUACUCAGCAUAUAUUACUAUCACACCCUGAUUGUCCUUCCCACUCCCUCUUCUUGGAACAUGACUCAUAUCCUAAGACUUGGAUGCAGUAGGCGCCUGUCCUCCUCUGCCUCUCCCGAGGUGAGUGUGCACCCAGUGUGCCCCCAGCUCAUGCCCAUCACAUUGGGUUGGGAACUGUCUAAUCAUGCAUAUCUUCCCUAAGCAGAGUCCCUGGGCCAGGGCACUCACUGGAGAUACAUCUUUGUCUGGGGCAGGCAUGAGGGUUUCUCAAAGGGAAGUACACAGGCCCAAGCAGGGGCAGAUCCAUUCACCAGCCCACUUGGCCCACCAUGGGCUCAACAUCAUUCAUGUGCCUGAUUAACUCAACACCUCAAAAUGUCCACCCAAACCUUAGUACUUCCCAAAGACACAGGAGAGGUUCCUGGGGUGGGCUGCACCAGGCAAGAGUUCUCAGUGCCAGUGACAGCCGUUUUCUGGUCAAAGAAUUCACCUAAGCAUCUCCUAUGUGCCCGGCAUUGUGCUAAGUGCUUUGCAGGCAUAAUCUCAUUUGUUCCUCACAAAAAUAACUUUAUUUUUCUUUCUUUUAUUAAAACAUUUUUAAAGGAUAAAAUCCAGGCUAGGUGCAGUGACUCA